rnacentral:rRNA from 1 species
UACGUAGGGGGCGAGCGUUGUCCGGAUUUAUUGGGCGUAAAGAGCUCGUAGGCGGUUUGGUAAGUCGGAUGUGAAAUCUCCAGGCCCAACCUGGAGGGGUCAUUCGAGACUGCUAUGACUAGAGUUCGGUAGAGGAGUGUGGAAUUCCUGGUGGAGCGGUGAAAUGCGCAGAUAUCAGGAGGAACACCCGUAGCGAAGGCGGCACUCUGGGCCGAUACUGACGCUGAGGAGCGAAAGCGUGGGGAGCGAACAGG